GACGAACGCUGGCGGCGUGCUUAACACAUGCAAGUCGAACGGAAAGGCCCUGCUUUUGUGGGGUGCUCGAGUGGCGAACGGGUGAGUAACACGUGAGUAACCUGCCCUUGACUUUGGGAUAACUUCAGGAAACUGGGGCUAAUACCGGAUAGGAGCUCCUGCUGCAUGGUGGGGGUUGGAAAGUUUCGGCGGUUGGGGAUGGACUCGCGGCUUAUCAGCUUGUUGGUGGGGUAGUGGCUUACCAAGGCUUUGACGGGUAGCCGGCCUGAGAGGGUGACCGGCCACAUUGGGACUGAGAUACGGCCCAGACUCCUACGGGAGGCAGCAGGGGGGAAUAUUGCACAAUGGGCGGAAGCCUGAUGCAGCAACGCCGCGUGCGGGAUGACGGCCUUCGGGUUGUAAACCGCUUUCGCCUGUGACGAAGCGUGAGUGACGGUAAUGGGUAAAGAAGCACAGGCUAACUACGUG
rnacentral:rRNA from 1 species